rnacentral:rRNA from 1 species
AACGAACGCUGGCGGCGCGCCUAAUACAUGCAAGUCGAGCGAGAAGGUGUAGCAAUACACUUGUAAAGCGGCGAACGGGUGAGGAAUGCAUGGGUAACCUACCCUCGAGUGGGGAAUAACUAGCCGAAAGGUUAGCUAAUACCGCAUACGUUUCCGGAACUUCGGUUUCGGAAAGAAAGCAAUACCGUGGGUAUUGCGCUCCUGGAUGGGCUCAUGUCCUAUCAGCUUGUUGGUGAGGUAACGGCUCACCAAGGCUUCGACGGGUAGCUGGUCUGAGAGGACGAUCAGCCACACUGGCACUGCGACACGGGCCAGACUCCUACGGGAGGCAGCAGUAAGGAUAUUGCGCAAUGGACGAAAGUCUGACGCAGCGACGCCGCGUGGGGGAUGAAGGUCUUCGGAUU